AUGGGAAGGAGGGCGCGGGGCGCGUCGCGGUUUCCCGUGGUGCCUCGCGGCGAGCGGCGGCAGGAGCGGCCGCGACUCCAUCCGGGUCCCUGCGGCAGACUAACUUGAAGGUCCGGAAGUACCGCCCCCGAACGAUCCUGAUUGGCUGCCACACCGCGCCGCCCGCCUGUGAUAGGCUGCGGAUGCUGUCAGUGCUGGGGAGAUGUGCUUCAUUCCACGCAUGAGUGGGCAGUAGUGACUCCUCAUUUCUUUCAAGCUGUGUUCCUGGAUAUUUAUAUUCCUUCUGUAACGACACGGUCAGAAAAAUAAGUGAAAAUCAAACACAAUAAUCGCAAAUGGAACAAACCAGUAAUAAUUCACGUUAUAAUUACUCAAAAUCGGGAUGCUUUGUAUUAAAGCAAUUCAAUGUAAGUGGGAUGUAGAUUUUUGGGAAAAGGUUGGUAUUUCUGGUGGAGAUGUGAGAUAAAGGUGUUACUGCUGACGCUCAGAGGUAUUAAUCUAGUGGACACUCAGCCCUGCCUGUAUUUAGAGUUAAUGCAUAUCUGUGAUUUGUAUGGUGUGCACAUUUACACUUACUCCAGUGUAUUACUGCUAAAUGGACGGCCGUGUCCAAAUAAAUGCUGAAAAUAACAUACGUACAUACCGAAUAAAUACUAAUAAUACUAUAUUUUAAGGUUUUGGGCAUAAGCAGAUGACUGUUAUUAAGGCUUCUGGCCUUCAUCACCACAUCUUGCUUUCUGGUUAAAGCAUGUUUGCUUUCUUGGAUGGGGCCUGUUUUCACUGUAGGUGAAUUUACUUAGCACAGAGGAAAAAAAGAAACUCAUCUGCUUUAGUCCUAACCAUCACACAUGAUUUUUGUUUGUUUUAAACUUAAAGCUUCGUCUUUUCUGCUGUACUUAAUUUUAUCUACUGAGUUUCUUAAAGUUGAAUUUAAACAUGAGAGUGAAAUGGUCUUCGGUAACAAGCUGUUUACAGAUGGUGGCCUAAUGGUCUUUUUGUAGAAGGACAGACUACAGCAUUACAUACCUUAAAUUGAUGCAUCUGUUUAUCUGCACACCACAUAACAACAGAUGUCA